rfam:Salmo salar isolate Sally breed double haploid chromosome ssa01, whole genome shotgun sequence.
AAAAUAUAUGACUGUAAGUCGCUUUGGAUAAAAGUGUCUGCUAAAUGGCAUAUA